rnacentral:tRNA from 1 species
GGGGAAGUAGCUCAGUUGGCUAGAGUGCCACGUUGACAUCGUGGAGGUCGGAGGUUCGAUCCCUCUCUUCCCCACCA